UUCAUACCACUCGCCAGGGAACUACAAGCGCAUUGCUUAAAACCCAACGGACUUGGCGGUGCCCCACACUCCACCUAGAGGAGCCUGUUCUAUAACUGAAACUACCCGUUAAACCUCACCACCCCUAGCCUACUCAGUCUAUAUACCGCCGUCGCAAGCCCACCCUGUGAAGGACUAAUAAUAAGCAAGACGGGCAUAACCCAAAACGUCAGGUCGAGGUGUAGCACAUGGGGUGGAAAGAAAUGGGCUACAUUUUCUGGUCACAGAAUACACGAAUAUCUGUUAUGAAAUACAUCAAUUGAAGGAGGAUUUAGCAGUAAAAAGAAAAUAGAGAGUUCUUUUGAAAUUGGCUCUGGGGCGCGCACACACCGCCCGUCACUCUCUGCCUCAUACACACACAAGCCGCAAGUACUAAAUAAUUUACCCAUGGCUACAACUAUGGCGGAGACAAGUCGUAACACGGUAAGUGUACCGGAAGGUGCACUUGGAUCAAU
rnacentral:rRNA from 1 species